rnacentral:tRNA from 1 species
ACUUGUAUAGUUUAAAAAAACAUUACAUUUUCAAAGUAAAAAUAUUUAUAAUUACAAGUG